AUACGGAGGAUCCGAGCGUUAUCCGGAUUUAUUGGGUUUAAAGGGAGCGUAGGCGGACUAUUAAGUCAGCUGUGAAAGUUUGCGGCUCAACCGUAAAAUUGCAGUUGAUACUGGUCGUCUUGAGUGCAGUAGAGGUAGGCGGAAUUCGUGGUGUAGCGGUGAAAUGCUUAGAUAUCACGAAGAACUCCGAUUGCGAAGGCAGCUUACUGGACUGUAACUGACGCUGAUGCUCGAAAGUGUGGGUAUCAAACAGGAUUAGAUACCCUGGUAGUCCACACAGUAAACGAUGAAUACUCGCUGUUUGCGAUAUACAGUAAGCGGCCAAGCGAAAGCAUUAAGUAUUCCACCUGGGGAGUACGCCGGCAACGGUGAAACUCAAAGGAAUUGGCGGGG
rnacentral:rRNA from 1 species